CUCUUUUGUUUAGUUAAUUGCAUCUCAGCCCCCUGAUCUCCGUGGAUACAAUCAUGACUCACCCUAUCUAUAUAGUUUAAGUUGGUAUUAUUUUUUGACCGCCUACAAUAGCAAUCAGAGGCUAUCUCGAGUAGAUCUCAGGUCAUGAAAGACAGAGAUGGGAUCAAACAGUCUGUCUCGACUCUCAUGUUUAUCCAUCCAUGAACAAUCAGGUGUUUGCCCCAGGACAUGGAGACGAGAUCAUCCAGAAGCUCUCAAAGUCAGAUGGAGGUCGAAUGUCGAGUCGAGAUGGAAAUUAUUGAAAUUUUAAAACUUCGAAUUCGAUCCACAGCAGGAGAAAAGCCCAAGACGAACAGGCAUGGAGGUGCUGCCCAAUGGGGCCUGCAACGUACAUGGCCUAGGUAGGGCCUGUCGCAUGCUAGGACAAUGCAGGCGCUCGAAUGUGCACGGCCCAGCAUAGGCAUACAGAUGCACGCAGCCCACUGCAGGCAUGCAUAGCCUGUGUGUGCGUAAGCUGUGUAAUGCGGUCCAUCAUGGAUCGCAUGGGAAGUCACAGUCCAUGCAUCC
rnacentral:lncRNA from 1 species